rnacentral:lncRNA from 1 species
UCUAAUUUAUUAAGCAACACCAGGCAAUUAGAAUAUUGAGACUCUAUGGGGCCCUUGCCCUUGAGCAACUAAAUUUUUUAUUGAAGACGAAAUAUACAUGCAUGAACAAUGUAAGGACAAGGGUGUCCUAAGUGCCAAAUUCCUGGAAGCAAUAAAUGCAGAAGGAUUCGGAUGGGUAGAAAUUGUUAGGUGAAGAGUGGAUAAGGGGGAGAACUUUUCUGGUGAAACAAUCUGAGGAACAAUACUGGAAAAUUAAGAAUGAGCAGGAUUGAUUUGUAGGAUUGUGAGUAAACCGGAAUGACCGGUAAAAGGAAAAGGACAUGACUGACAUUAAAAGAGCAAACAAAGAGUUGACAUUUCUUCCCCUCAGAUUGGCAAAGAAUUAAAACGUCAGCCAAUGUGAGUGAACGUGUUGCAGGGGGACCAGCACUCUGUAACAUAACUUUUCAGUAUGUUAAAAGUCUUAAAGUGGACAUGACUUGUGUUAGGCUCUCAGUUCCCAGAGAAAUCAUCAGAGCUGUGAUCAAAGCU